ACAGCCAUACCAUGCUGAAUAUACCGGUUCUCGUUAGAUCACCGAAGUCAAGCAUCAUUGGGCGCGGUCAGUACUUGGGUGGGUGACCACCUGGGAACACCGCGUG
rnacentral:rRNA from 1 species